CGAACGGUGCCUUCGGGCACAGUGGCGAACGGCGGAGUAAUACAUGAACAACGUGCCCUAAAGACUGGGAUAGUCAUUGGAAACGAUGGGUAAUACCAGAUGUGACCCUCACCUGGCAUCAGGAGAGGAUUAAACGGUUUUUCGCUUUAGGAGCGGUUCAUGGCCUAUCAGGUAGUUGGUGGGGUAAUGGCCUACCAAGCCGACGACGGGUAGCGGGUCUGAGAGGAUGAUCCGCUCGAGUGGGACUGAGACACGGCCCACACACCUACGGGUGGCAGCAGUUGGGAAUCUUGCACAAUGGGGGAAACCCUGAUGCAGCGACGCCGCGUGGAGGAUGACGGAUCUAGGUCUGUAAACUCCUUUUGCACAGAAAGACUUAGGACGAUACUGUGCGAAUAAGGACCGGCUAACUACGUGCCAGCAGCCGCGGUAAGACGUAGGGUCCAAGCGUUGUCCGGAUUUACUGGGCGUAAAGAGCGCGUAGGCGGUCUGUUAAGUGUGAAGUGAAAUCUCCAGGGCUCAACCCGGAAACUGCUUCGCAUACUGGCAGACUUGAGGAAUGCAGAGGUUUGUGGAAUUCCUGAUGUAGCGGUGAAAUGCGUUGAUAUCAGGAGGAACACCCAUGGCGAAGGCAGCAAACUGGGCAUUAUCUGACGCUGAGGCGCGAAAGCGUGGGUAGCAAACAGGAUUAGAUACCCUGGUAGUCCACGCCCUAAACGAUGGAUACUAGGCGUAAGAGGUAUCGACCCCUCUUGUGCCGCAGCUAACGCAUUAAGUAUCCCGCCUGGGGAGUACGGCCG
rnacentral:rRNA from 1 species